rnacentral:sRNA from 2 species
AUGUACCACUCUGCGGCGCCGUCUACGCCCGUCUGACGUCUGCUCGCUACGUGCUGUUAGCC